UACGUGCAAUAGAGUAUAGAGUUCUUUGUGAGAGUCUAGAUAAGCUGUCUAUUAUAUGUACUAGGUUUUAUAAUUUAAUAUGGAAAGGGAAUGUAGUGCGCAGUUUGAGUGAAGGACUGCUUCCAACUAUCUGAAUUUAAAUGCAAAAUGACAAAACUCGGAACUAUUGGAACGUAUUCGACAAUUAUAUACAUUUUUUGACACAGGCUGGCUGGCAGGCAGCUUCGUAAUCACUUAAGACGUUGCGAUGCAGUUCGAUGAGAAGGAAAUCCACAAAGACCGGAGAGAUGCGAAAAAUUAUUCAAAAGCGUUAAUCUAAGUCUAAUUGAAUAAAUACCCCAUGUAUUUUGACUUUCAGUUUAACAUGCUCGUCAGCAAAGAAACUCAAGGAACCAAAAAAGAAAGUCAAAUCUACUUAACACUGAAGUUUUACAAAUCGGCGCACUAAAGGACUAAGUACGCCAUAAAAUAAAAGGCCGACAUUAGAAAAUCACAAAGAUAAGAAAAAUAAAUCAGGGCCCACGCACGCGACCAAAGAAACGGAGAAAAAAGUACUAGCCACCAAGGAAAAAAUCUUUGCAACGAGCAGGGCGAACGACCUGCGAAAAAUAAGACGAAUAAGUUCCCGCGCACAUGUUGAACCGCCAUUUUUUUAUCUCUAUCCCGCUCUUGCGCCGAAAAAUGGUUGAACGCACGUGGGUGCGAGCGAGACAGCCGGUUGUUUCCGUGCAUGCCCGCUUGGCGCGCUGGCGUGCUGUGAAAAUGCUCUUCCUGUUUUGACUUUAUGCGUUUCCAUUUUUGUUAGACCAUUAAGUUAUGCUAAAAUAACAUCGUGGCACAAACUGUAUAAAUUAUUUUCUAUUUCUAUGCUCCUAUUGUAACGUAUUGCGGUAAUAAAUGCAUACUUAUUAUAAAUUAGAGUCGACCAUCAGCCCGCAGCUACUUGGUUAUUGGAUGUUAGAAGCUAUUAUGGCUGUGCCCCGCGGUUUUACUUGUUAAUUUGAAAGAAUCGCAUGACUGUGAAAAUGUAGAGAAUAAUAUGAAUUAUGACCUCACUUGACCUAUCAAAGAAAUGAAUAACACUAAUUGAUUUAUUUGAAAAGUAGAGUUGCGAUUAUCCAUAUUAUCUUCUCUCUACAUUAUAAAUUAGUGUACCAAUCUGCAAAUCAUUAAGUAUAUCAAACAUAAUAUAGGUACUUACCCAUAUUUUAAUA